CAUACUAGCCAAAUUGGAAAAGGCGCUUGAUUUAGGUUCAGGAUAAUGUGGGUUCAAUUCCCACGUAUG
rnacentral:tRNA from 1 species